rnacentral:piRNA from 1 species
UGACAAGCUGCCUCUUAUAAGUAGGUGUA